rnacentral:rRNA from 1 species
CCUACGGGGGGCUGCAGUAAGGAAUAUUGGUCAAUGGACGAAAGUCUGAACCAGCCAUGCCGCGUGGAGGAUGAAGGUCCUCUGGAUUGUAAACUUCUUUUAUAUGGGACGAAAAAGGGCCUUUCCAGGUCGUCUGACGGUACCAUAUGAAUAAGCACCGGCUAACUCCGUGCCAGCAGCCGCGGUAAUACGGAGGGUGCAAGCGUUAUCCGGAUUCACUGGUGCGAAGGUGGGUGGGGAAGGGUUGGGAGAAAUCCCCGAGCUUAACUUGGGAACUGCCAUGGAUACUAUCAGUCUUGAAUACCGUGGAGGUCAGCGGAAUAUGUCAUGUAGCGGUGAAAUGCUUAGAUAUGACAUAGAACACCAAUUGCGAAGGCAGCUGGCUACACGAGUAUUGACACUGAGGCACGAAAGCGUGGGGAUCAAACAGGAUUAGAUACCCCAGUAGUC